UAAGGAAUAUUGCUCAAUGGGAGAAAUCCUGAAGCAGCAACGCCGCGUGGAGGAUGAAGGGUCUAUGACUUGUAAACUCCUGUAAAGAAGGAAAAAAUUCCCAUUAGAUGGGAGAUGAUGGUACUUCUGGAGUAAGCCCCGGCUAACUACGUGCCAGCAGCCGCGGUAAUACGUAGGGGGCAAGCGUUGUCCGGAUUUACUGGGUGUAAAGGGUGCUCAGGCGGAUUUGUAAGUCAGAGGUGAAAUCUUACAGCUUAACUGUGAAACUGCCUUUGAUACUGCAAGCCUUGAGUAUGGAAGAGAGUGAUGGAAUAUCUGGUGUAGCAGUGAAAUGCGUAGAUAUCAGAUAGAACACCAAUGGCGAAGGCAGUCACUUGGUCCAUUACUGACGCUAAAGCACGAAAGCGUGGGUAGCAAACA
rnacentral:rRNA from 1 species